rnacentral:rRNA from 1 species
UCCAGACUCCUACGGGAGGCAGCAGUGAGGGAUAUUGGUCAAUGGGGGAAACCCUGAACCAGCAACGCCGCGUGAGGGAAGACGGUUUUCGGAUUGUAAACCUCUGUCCUCUGUGAAGAUGAUGACGGUAGCAGAGGAGGAAGCUCCGGCUAACUACGUGCCAGCAGCCGCGGUAAUACGUAGGUGGCGAGCGUUAUCCGGAUUUACUGGGUGUAAAGGGCGUGUAGGCGGGGACGCAAGUCAGAUGUGAAAACCACGGGCUCAACCUGUGGCCUGCAUUUGAAACUGUGUUUCUUGAGUACUGGAGAGGCAGACGGAAUUCCUAGUGUAGCGGUGAAAUGCGUAGAUAUUAGGAGGAACACCAGUGGCGAAGGCGGUCUGCUGGACAGCAACUGACGCUGAGGCGCGAAAGCGUGGGGAGCAAACAGGAUUAGAUACCCUAGUA